GAAAUUGAACAACUCUGAAUACCAACAAUUUGUUUCCAAAUUAUAUGUGGACACACCAUGCUAAAAUCUUUAGUUAGUAUCGAUUCUGCGGAACAGCUGAUAAGCAAUUAAAUAAAUUAAAUUCAAAUAUGGCCGGGAUCAAAAAGGAUCGCCAAAAGGACACCAGUGCCGCCAGGCACAGUGGAGCCUGAGGCGCUGAUUCAACGUGCCAUCAAAUGGAGCAUUUCUUUGCAGGGACACUCGGUCUUGCACAAGCUCAUUGGCUACCUUGAGUGUCUCGGGUAGCACGAGCGCGUCUACCUUGAGCGGUCCCUUCAGUGUCUCGGGUAGCACGACCGCGGCUCCUGCUAUUCCGUCGCAGAUCACGAGCCGGGCUCCCUCAAGUGCUGCUGCUAAUCUCUUCGAGAUAGAGACAUUACAGAUCGACGAUGAGCAGAACCAAUCGCGAAGGUAAUGAGAAGGGAUCGCAGAGCCCGCAGAAAGUCAGUAGAUUUUUGGAAUCCCAACGACAAACCCCCGAUAUUUUCUAUUUGCAAAAUGGCACCCGUGCUCACCGGGCACCACCGGGCCUUCAUGCCCCUCGCGGCUUCAUCCCGGGACAACUCGAUCCCGCGCGCAAAUGCUCCUACACGAGCGUCCAUUCCGCAGCGAAUAUUGCAGCAAGUCUAUCGUGACCAGGGCAGACUGCAGGUCCCAUCAAAUACAACACACCAUGAGCCGCGAGCACAGCUGCCACAUCUGCAGGUUAAGAUUUAAGCUAAGGAAUCAUGUUAUGACCCAUCUGAAAUCAGGGGCCCACAGAAGCGCGAGACAAAGGCCCACUUUCUGUUGAAUCAGAGUAUUUCCCAAGGAGCCUAUAACGCCGCCUUCUAUUCCAUGGGAAGGACAUUUUGCGAUCAGAAGAAUGCGGUAUCCAAUGCCAAGAUGUUGAAGGCCCUUGGUGAUUCAUCAGGCAUAUGAUUUUAUAUAUGUACAUAUACUACAUAUGUUAUAUGUAUAACCAAAAAAAAAAACUAAGCACUCGUGUGGAGAUCUUAGCAUUUCAUCGCAGACUUUGCCCUUGUGAAAAUUUUCCAUGAAGUCAGCAGCGUACACGUGCCCGAAAUGAGGGGCUUUUACUUUUGCAUACAUUCUAGUUUGUUUUGUUUAUUUAAUCAUAUUAUAUCAUGCGAGAGGUAAUCAUAAUUUUCUUUUGUCUGCCGUCUGAGGAGACUGUUCGACUGUUGUACAAUUAAACAAACAUUAUCACAAUCUUACGCAGGUAUACAAGACAUUUAGCUAGUUUAAAUUUAUCGGGGCAACGUGCACUAGCAGAGACUGGAGAGUACUGGCUAGUGCGAGCACCCGUCUCCCGAUGGAGAGCGUCAUCGUCAAUCGGUGUAGGUCUUAUGAUGAUGCAAUAAAUAUAUGUAGUUACAGUUCGCUUAGGUGUAGGAUAAGGUGUUGGCCAACGAGUUUCCCAAAGUUGUUCGAAGGGGGUUUUCUUGGUUUUUAUGUGUUUUAAGUGGCCGCACAAUCAGAAAUGAGCUUUAGUUAGUCAGUGGCUUGGAA
rnacentral:sRNA from 1 species